ACUCCUACGGGAGGCAGCAGUCGGGAAUUUUGGGCAAUGGGCGAAAGCCUGACCCAGCAACGCCGCGUGAAGGAUGAAGUAUUUCGGUAUGUAAACUUCGAAAGAAUGGGAAGAAUAAAUGACGGUACCAUUUAUAAGGUCCGGCUAACUACGUGCCAGCAGCCGCGGUAAU
rnacentral:rRNA from 1 species